GAUCAUGGCUCAGGACGAACGCUGGCGGCGUGCUUAACACAUGCAAGUCGAACGGAGCACCCUUGAUUGAGGUUUCGGCCAAAUGAUAGGAAUGCUUAGUGGCGGACUGGUGAGUAACGCGUGAGGAACCUGCCUUUCAGUGGGGGACAACAGUUGGAAACGAUUGCUAAUACCGCAUAAUGUGUUUUGGGGGCAUCCCCGGAACACCAAAGAUUUAUUGCUGAAAGAUGGCCUCGCGU
rnacentral:rRNA from 1 species